ACAGCUCCACAGCGCUGCGGGGAACCCGUGCCCCGGUCAAGAACCUUCCAGAAUUGUGCCACAAUCGUCAAAGGGCAACUUCGUCGUGGUCCCUGGAAAGACAGACUACCCAUCGAAGGAAUGUGCGUCCGCAACCCUGUGUGGGUCGAUCAAGAAGCACCUACUAGACCAUUUCCACAAGAAACCUGUGCCACCAAAGCCAAAGCCAGAACCUAAGCCAGAGCUGGAGCCGAAGCCAGAACCUAAGCCAGAGCCAGAGAACCACCCACCUACACCAACAUACGGAUCCUCAACUCCGAUCUACCAUCCUCCAUCCAGGCAGUUGUUUGACAAGAAACACAUGUUUGAUAACUUCCACAAGCACCACGACUACCAUCACUUCUUUGACCACUUCCACAAGAAACCAGUUCCACCAAAGCCAAAACCAGAACCUAAGCCAGAACCAAAACCCAAGCCCCAGCCAGAGUACCACUCUCCAACUCCAACAUAUGGGUCGCCCACACCGAUCUACCACCCUCCGGCUAGGCAUUUGUUUGAUAAGAAGCCCUUGCUAGAUCACUUCCAUAAGGACCAUGACUAUCACCACUUCUUAGACCACUUCCACAAGAAACCCGUGCCACAAAAGCCAAAGCUAGAACCCAAGCCACAGC
rnacentral:lncRNA from 1 species